GAUGAAGAACGCAGCGAAAUGCGAUAAGUAAUGUGAAUUGCAGAAUUCAGUGAAUCAUCGAAUCUUUGAACGCACAUUGCGCCCGCCAGUAUUCUGGCGGGCAUGCCUGUUCGAGCGUCAUUACAACCCUCAGGCCCCCGGGCCUGGCGUUGGGGAUCGGCGGAAGCCCCCUGCGGGCACAACGCCGUCCCCCAAAUACAGUGGCGGUCCCGCCGCAGCUUCCAUUGCGUAGUAGCUAACACCUCGCAACUGGAGAGCGGCGCGGCCACGCCGUAAAACACCCAACUUCUGAAUGUUGACCUCGAAUCAGGUAGGAAUACCCGCUGAACUUAAGCAUACAAUAAGCGGAGGA
rnacentral:misc_RNA from 1 species